ACUCAAAUGAAUUGACGGGGACUCGCACAAGCAGUGGAUUAUGAGGCUUAAUUCGUCGAUAAACGAAGAACCUUACCAAGGUUAGAAAUGCAACUGCAUCCAAUCUGAAAGGAAUGGAGCCUUCGAGGGUGUUGCACAGGUGAUGCAUGGUCGUCGUCAGUUCGUGGUUUGAACUGUUCCCUUCAGUGGGGUAACGAACGCAACCCCCGUUGCCUGUUGCCUAUAUGGCCAGGCGAGACUGCUCCCUCACGGGAGAGGAAGGUGGGGAUGACGCCAGAUCAGCAUGUCCCUCUGAUACCUUGGGCUGCACUCAUAAUACAAUGGUCGGUACAACGGGCUGCAAUAUCGCAAGAUGGAGCUAAUCCUUAUAAAACCGACCCCAGUACGGAUUGAGGUCUGCAACCGACCUCAUGAAGCCGGAAUUGCUAGUAAUCCCAGGUCAGCCAAACUGGGGUGAAUACGUUCUCGAGUCUUGUACACACCGCCCGU
rnacentral:rRNA from 1 species